rnacentral:rRNA from 1 species
ACGAACGCUGGCGGCGUGCUUAACACAUGCAAGUCGAACGGAAAGGCCCUGCUUUUGUGGGGUGCUCGAGUGGCGAACGGGUGAGUAACACGUGAGUAACCUGCCCUUGACUUUGGGAUAACUUCAGGAAACUGGGGCUAAUACCGGAUAGGAGCUCCUGCUGCAUGGUGGGGGUUGGAAAGUUUCGGCGGUUGGGGAUGGACUCGCGGCUUAUCAGCUUGUUGGUGGGGUAGUGGCUUACCAAGGCUUUGACGGGUAGCCGGCCUGAGAGGGUGACCGGCCACAUUGGGACUGAGAUACGGCCCCGACUCCUACGGGAGGCAGCAGUGGGGAAUAUUGCACAAUGGGCGGAAGCCUGAUGCAGCAACGCCGCGUGCGGGAUGACGGCCUUCGGGUUGUAAACCGCUUUCGCCUGUGACGAAGCGUGAGUGACGGUAAUGGGUAAAGAAGCACCGGCUAACUACGUG